CACUCAUUUCAAAACCCUAGAUUUCUACUCCUAUUUCUCCAAAUUUCUUCCAAUAUCCUGACUUCUGGAUGAGAUUCGACGAUGUUACUUUGGAUUUUGGUUUCGCUUUCCAGAUUCAUGCAAUUCUCUCCCCUUGAUCUGAUUUUUCAAUAAACCCGCGUUUGCAAGUGAAUGGUUUUCGUUUAUUGUGGUUCACAUGAUGACCGGAUCGGCUUGAUUCUUUUUUGAUCUGCUGGAUGACUUGGAUCUUGCUUGUGUGUGGAGGGGCUAGGAUUUACAUGCAUCUGUAAUUUGCAAACCUCCUGUGAAGAAAGCCUAUUAUUGACCAUACUUUUACCUGCUCGUAUAUCAUGUCAUUUACAAGAUCCAUACAUUUCCCUCUUGAAGUCGCUGGACAAAGUUGCAGAGGGAGUUUCUCCAGCUCUGAAAUAGCGAUCUGACAAUCUCUGAGACGAAGUUUUGUAGUUUUGGCCAACAACAAGCUUUCCAUUCCUUCCGCCAUGUUAUUGCAAGAGCUCGGAAUUGGAAAUUGAAACAUGGCUGAAUAAAAGGGCAUGGAGAAAUUUAAGUUCCACAAUGCCCUUUUGUGUCGGGUGUAGUCUAGGGGGUCUGAGAUCAUGUCCCCUGAUCAGACUCUUUAUCAUCCAGUUUUGUCUUAUUUCA